ensembl:lncRNA
AGGCAUUUAACAAAAACAACUUGAUCCUGGAGGAAAGAAACAAAUACUUCAACCCACAUCUCACUGGGAAGACCUAUUCUAACGCCUACUUUACAGAUCUCAAUAAUUAUGAUGAGUACUAAUAGCUCUUAUAUGUUUGGCUUCUUGUAAUACCCCAGUUCCUCAAGGCCUGUGCUCCAUGACUGCCCAUGUUUCCGAGACUUCAAAGAUGAAGUUUGGAUACAUUUCAAGUGCAUUUCAAGCCACGAGUGUCCCAUUGCUGACCAAAAAUAGAUGUCUUUGAAAGCAACAAAAAUCUAAAUAUGACAUCGUGAAAAUCUGCUCUACAAUACUUGAUCAUUGUUGAGUGAGCCAUGGUGUGAAGUUUUUUAUUGUGUUCAGUCCAUUUUUCUAACAAGUCGGUUGUUUUCUUGCGCUUUUUAAUAAAUGUACCACCCACAUUGGAAGGAGUCUUUAGAAAUAUGAACGUCUUCUUGCUCUUGAACUUAAAUCUUCAUGAUGUUUUAAUUCAAGAAAGUAGGCACUUUAUAUGAAAGCCCCCUACCCCUCUACAAAGAGGUCCAUAAUAUUGAUAAAAUGAAGAAUAUGAAUGUGGCCAUAUAGUUAUUCACCACAGAUCUCCCGUCUUUCCAGUCUGGAUAAUACUGUGGAAUUCUUGGAAGCAACUUAUUAGUUUGGAUUUGGAAUGAUUCUUCCUGAGGAGGCCCAGGAAUUCAAUCUGACUUUCACCUGCAGAGGUGAUGAUAUGAGACACUCCACCAUUGGUCUUGAUGCAGUAACUGUGCUAUCGCUGGGGGAGGUGAGCAUAAAGAGCAGAGGACAGACACAAUGAGGGGGAAAGUGUUCUGCAGGUUGCUGCAAAACUAGCCUUGUUCUAACUUUUGGAUUUCAGCCUACCUACCUGUCUCAUCCACAGAAAUGUCCUGAAGAGCCAGUCUAUCAAAUAACCACUUAUUGAGAGGAUACACUCUACACCUCUUCUCUCCCUGCAGAGAAAAAUCUUGAACAUUCAUCAUGCCAAUGAAGAAAGAAUUGAAAGUACUGAAACAUAAUUGAAAACAACUUUUUUAUUGUCUGUAUUAUGGAAAGUAUUGAAAGAACUGAUAUGUGAUGAAAAGCUACUUUUAUUUUCCACCUCUCUGAUAGAACUGGUGUAUGGCAGUCAGCCCCUACCAAGAGCAUUAAUGAUGUGUAACGCUGGCUUUCUGCAGCUUGUCGCUGUACAUACUGAAGUGCUCCCCAAGUACCAAGCUGUCAUUUGCUGCUGCCAGGUCAGGGGAGGAGGAGAUGUUUAGCUCUGGUGCCUUUGUUUUUAUCUCAGUGCUGCCUUCCAGUCCACUCACUCCCACUUCUCCCUGCAUGGAGGCAACAGCAUUUCAAGACGUACCUUGAGAAACUGGGGUAUCUGGGAGAAUGUUUUUAAUGAUCCCCGUGGUUCUGAGCACUGAUCAUUGAUAAGCAUUUCAGGGUCUUACAAUACUUUUCAUAGUAGUUCCCAGGAGAGAGAGAAAAAAACAGGAUAAAUUACUCACAGACAACUGAUAGUAGCAUACAGCAGUUGGUUGAAUAAUUAUUGAAAGUGAGAACAAGAUUGAAACUCUUCAUCUGAUGCCUCUGGGCAUUGCGAUAAAGGCCUGGGUGGACAUUAAAACAUAUUCUUAUUGAUAAAUGGACCUUCAGAUCUGUGAAAAAUAUAUACACAGACAGCAUACAUGCUUUUACCCUAUCCAAUUUAAAGAGAGAAUUUCAGAAAGUAUUGGGAAAAUCCUAUGUUUAGUAAUGAAUGUUGUGGAGUUCAGAAUAUUCUCAUAUACCCAAAUUUGCAGAAACAGCUCUACUAAAAUUAAAAUUUAAAUGCCAAGUGGGCUCUGGGAGGUCUGAUAGAUUGCAAAUGAAUGGUGAUCCUGUUGCAUCUCCUGUAUUCCUUGUAUGCUCUGUGGGACUGCUCUGUCUCUACCCAAAGGCCACAUUCAGGAGGGGAAAUUCAGCCAGAUGGUUUCCUCAUUGUUCCUGGGUUGUAUUUUCAACGGGUGCUUCAACCUGUCUCAUCACUUUCCUGUAAGAAAAAUGUCCUCACUGUGUAGCACAUCUUAGCUGUUUUUUGAAUCCCUUCCCCAAAUAUUUUCUAAGCUUAAAAGGUCAUUCUAUUUCCCCUAGGAAAAGGGAUAUUUCAGAAAAGCAUCUCUGGACUUGAUGGGAACUGCUUUCUAAAUGACAUCAAAGCUGGUCUUUAAUCAAUUUUAUGCAAUGACUAGGGAAACACCUCCCCCACAACAGAAUUUUCAUGUUACUGAUUACAUAAACUUUGCGAUUAUCACUGCCAAGAAAUCCCCUCAAUUUUGUUCCCUGAAAUUCUAUUCAGAGGAAAACUGUCCUGGCUUCUCUUUCUCUCCCUCUCUCUCCCUCCCUCCCUCCUUCAUUCCUCUCUCCCUCUUAUUUUACAGAAUAUCCAUUGGUUUAGAAUAAUUUUAGCUAUAUUCUAAUUAUCUUAACCAACUGUGGAGUAACUCUUCUUUUCCCAGCACUGUAUAGCUGUUGCUCAUGUCUAUACGCAUCGCUCCAUACCCCUCGUUACUGCAUGGGUCCUCAUGGGCUUGGCUAUCCACCACUUCUCCUGCGGUGUCCUUCAUACGCCAGCUCUUAUUUAGGUUGGGGUGUUUGGGAUUGCUGCCGCCACUGGCCACGUUAUACAUUUCUAUGUGACUUUUUGAUUCUCUAUCUUUUUUUCUUUUCCUUUUCCUUCCUUCUUUCCUUCCUUUCUUCCUUCUGGUUUCUUUCUUGCUGUCUUUAUUUCUUUCCUUGUCUCUUUCUUCUGUCUUUUUCUUUCCUUUUGAUCCAAGCAGCACAAAUAGAGACUAAUAUUUCUAAGCUGCACUUCUCUGAACCUACCAUCAAAUGACAUUAAUCACAGUUUAACUUCUAGGGUUAUUUCUGGAUACAGUUGAAGUUUGGCUGGUUUCCUUAGGAAACUGACUUUAGUCUCACACAUGAAUUCUUUGGAAGUGGUUCCCAGUGUGGUUCAGGGUCCUCUCUCCAGAAUGGACUAGUCACCAUGUGAUGUCGCCCCUACAGUGCACUAACAUUUUACAGAAGGGAGAACACGGAAUUCCCAAAUGCAGCAUAGCACAUGGUCUUCCCACGAUAGCUCUGUAGAGGAGUGGCUGUGAUGAAACCGUGGGCUUUGCCACCCUGAGCGAUAUGCGCUCAGUGAGCUCAGGGGGUGCAGGAUCAGGCUGUGCUCCAUGAAGCCCCACCCUCACCAGGCUCGGGCGUUUCCUCAGUUAUCUGCCCAGCUCGCUUUAGGUGUAUUUCUAUGCUGCUGCCCCUGGAAACUGGUGUGAGGCAUCUGAACUUCCCUGCUCCCCCUGGGAAGUUCCACUAAGGCUAAUCCAGUAGCUUCUGACUAGAGCAGGCAUUGACACUGGGAAAAGAGAGGGUUCCUUGUUAUCUGGAGGCUGGGCAGAGAUUCUGAAGGAACUGAAGAGGAACUAACAGUGGCUGAGCGCGAGGCAUCCCUGCCGUGGAGAAGCCCCUGUCCCUGGGAAGGUCAGUCCACAUGGUUCAGGGUGACCCAGGGGCCUGACCCAUCGACUCACGGAGUGACGCCAAAGAGAAAGGAAGCAAACAUGGGAGAAGAUCAGACAAGUAGGUGACUGUGAAAAGAAGGGGACCUGGUCACUCCCAAGCCGAGUGUCGUGGACCGUCCGUGUGGGUCUGAUCCUUGCACUCUCCCAGGAUCGUCUGUGCAGACUGCAGGCAAAGGUGUCCUUAUUCCUUAUUCAUCCGCAAAAGGGUGACAUUUAUGGGAAUCAAAGCCCAUGUGGGUGAGUGUUUCCACUGGAGUCUUUGGUGGAAUUAGUGGGUCAGGCCAGCGUCGCAGUUAUGGACAAAGUCUCAGCACGGGGAGACUUCUCCAUGUCCCGGAGGCUACCUGAGGGAAUCCAUCAGCGUGUAACUGAAGAUCAAAGGAGGUUUUAUUUUAAAAAUAGAUCAAGUCUUCAAUCAGCUGAUCAUCUUGUGUAAACACUUCCUUAAUGCUCACUGAAAGUGCAGCCUUGAUAGUGUUUGAGUUUACACGUUUCUUUAUGCUUCUUUAUGACAUUUUUCUGACUUUUAGAAUAAAUUAUAAAUGUUUCCCCAACACUGUCAAACCACAGUCAGCAUUGACUGCUUCAUGACCAUCAACCUUUUUUAGCCCCAGGAUGUCUUUACACUCCACUGGGAUUUUCUUGUGUGUGGCAUUUUGGGGUAGUUGCAUUGAAUUCAGCAUUUCUAUCUCAAAAGAUGGUUCUGGGGCACCUAUCCAGAGGAAAGAGAUACCAAUGGUGGAUCCCAUGAACUGAGUCAGCCUCAGAGCAGCCGUUCUCUAUGUGGCCGUCUUGUGCCUAAGUCCUUCAGCUCCAAUAAUCAAUGUCCAUGAAGAUAGAAAUUAAAAUAAUGACCCUAAAUCAAGUCAUACGCAAACUCUCCACUCUUCUUUUUAAGAUGAUACAAACUGGAAUUCACAGAUCUCGUUGGCCAUGCCCAGCACAUUCAUUCUUUCUAAUGUCUCCAUUAUUUCAUGGUAAUUUAUGUUGACUUGGUGAUUUAUGUUGACACAUUACCAAAUUUCAUUACCUAUGAUUAUCUAUUAUCAGACACUAGAAAGCCAUUCUGAGCCCUCUGCUUCUCUGAUCAAUGGAUGUAAAAUGGGAGAGCAUAGAGUAACAUUCACUUUGACCUGAGAAAAGCACAAAAGGGGCUGCCAAACAUUUCACAGUGUAUUACCAUGUAGGAUAAAAUAUUUGCAGACCAGAGACCAUUGUGGAAUUUAUUUCUGCUGUUCUCCCCUAUUGGGGCCAGUAAUAAUAAUUGAUUUAAAGAUAUUUUGUAAUUCGACAAAUACUCAACCAAGGCAUUCUGAUUAUCUAUUUUGAUAACCUAGUAAAACAUAGGAAAAUAUAUUGCUUUAAUCCUUGCUUCUUUUCUCUUUUGGAAAUUGAAAAAUAAUGAACAAGAUGUAAAGUUGAACUGUUGGCAGGGAUUUCUAAGAUGACUAUUCCAUACUCUUUUUUUUUAUGGAUUAUAUUAAAGAUGCACCACACAUAUUUUCUGGAGAAAAUGGAUCAAAAUUUUUUUCAAUGAUCAUUUGUUGCAUUAUCAAAUAUUUGGUACGUCACAGAAGCAUCAGGAAUGGAACCUCUUCUCUUUUGAAAAUAUAGUUCACACUGCAAAGGGACUUAGAGCAUCAUCAAAAUCAAAUUCAGAGCCUGACACAAAGUGUACUGUUCUUAUGAAAGCUGCCUCAUUCAGUGUUUUUAAAAGAUCAUAUUAGUUCUGCCAUAGAGAGCAAUCAAGCUUGUUACCCAUCACCAGAGUCAGCACCGAUUCCCAUUCAUGUUUUACUUUGACAUGAUGACAGUAACUAGUAAAGGACACUUUAAAACUUGAAAGGAGAAAAAUAGAGAUAGAAAACCACUCUAUGGCAUUUCUUAACUAACAUGCUGGGUGGGCAAUGCAGUUAAUUCCACCUCUUCAGGUUUAGUCAGAAAUAUGAGGCCAAGAGUUCAAACACGAGCCUGUUCUUUCUCAGCUCUUUGGCCAUUUGACACCAAAUGGUUCAAAUCUAUGAAUGGUGGUUCGAAUGGUAGUUCAGAAUGGUUCACAUGUUAGAUAAAUGCGAGCUGGGAGUAAAAUCUUGAUUCUGGAAAGUCCAAAUUAUCCUUCUAUCAUGUCACUAAGAAAAGCAUUGUUAUCCACCCCCUAUAAGUGCAGAUAGUUUAAUUUCUUAUAAAAAGUUGCCAGUGCCUUGUUUAAGAUGAUGAUUUAUUAUUUCAUUAUAAUUUUAUUUGCAAUGCAUUGGUUCUUCAAUUAAGCAAUUGUUGUGGCAAAGUACUAAAAUAUUCUUGUAUAGAAACCUCUUGACCAGAAAGCACCCCAUUUCGUUGUCUCCCAUGAUUUUGGCCCCACUGCGGGUAUGGCCCCAGGAUAGGCAAUGGUGUGGUCAGAAUUUAGGUGAAACAGUCUCAGCCUUCCAGAAACUGACAUCACUUUAAUUUUACAUCUUCCAAAAAACACCUUAGCAUCUGUUCUGUAAUAGGAAUGUUAAUGUGAUGCCUUUAGAAGUUAAAGGGUUUUGUCACUGUCCCUCUUCAGGCAAGUGUAUAGAUACAGGAAAAUCAGACACAGGCGGGUGACGGCUGGCACAGAAAUGGUGAGUGGAAUGAGAGCCACCUAGCACAUUGCCUGCUGGGCUUUUUUUAAUGUCAAAACUGUUUUCACAAGUUCACAAAGUUAUCACUCUUAACUUGGGUCAAGAAAAUUAACAGUGUUUUCUGUGCUAAAGUUGAUUGCUUUGCCCCUAUACCCUGACUGUUGGCCAAAAUGAAACUUGAACUUCUGCACUUUGAAAGAAAGCAUAGUGUGAAUCUUCAACCCAAGCACCUGCUGAACUUCUGCAUCAUCUGCAAAGAAAAUGCACAAACUUGGUCCAAGUAGGAUUCUUCAAAGGUGUGUAACAAAAUUUGUGUGUUAUGCCACUUGAUGUGACUUUUGAAGAUGUUAUGAAAUGUUAAAUGGCUCAUUCUGUGUUAGUUUGCUGUUGCUAUUUUGUGAUACAAAAUAAACUUGUUUGGGAUCAUUUCAUUUUUUUUCAUUGAACCUUCUCCAAAGCUAACUUCAGCCCUUGGUAAACUGCAGAAAGUUACUGACCUUAAAAUUAAUUUUUAAAUGGCAAUAUAUAUUAAUUAUAUUGGAGCUUUUUUAGAAUAAGAUAACAUUGCCUUCCCCUUCAUUUGAAUGAGAAGAUGGAGCCUUGGGUGCCCUGUGAGAAUGCUCGUGGAUUGCUGGGUAUUUCCUCACAGGACCAUUGGGUGCACCACACUUUUUUUCAGUCCUUACAUUCAAUUUUCAAGGUGUCUUUUGAAACCUUAUUCUUAGAAAUGUGCAAUACAAAUUUCCAAUGGUCUUCACUUUUAUCUACUCUGUUCAUCAAUUUGCUGGUCUUAAAUGCUUGCUUGACAGCUGUCCAGGUCUAUAUCUAAGAAAGUGUGUUAAUGACACCUGACACAUACAUUAUUUCCAAAAGUCAGUUUAAGACACCGAUUGUGGCAGCCCAGGCAGGGAGGUCAUUGCCUCUUGCACUGGAUCAAUCAUGGAAGUUCAGAGAAGGGAAGUGGGGGAGGGGCGGGGGGCAGAUACCCACCCAGUCAGCAGAAACCAACACACACCUGCUCCUAGCCUCAACUCUGAGGAAAACGAACAUAUUUAUAAGAUAAAAUGAGCUAUCAUCACAGAAGUAAAGAUGUCAUGUUCACUCACUGCCCUUGGUGAAUUGCCAGUUUCUAUAACCCAAACCUAUUCACCUUUUUUAAACAAUAACUUCAUGAAGAAUGAUCCUGAGUACUCCUAACAGGGCAGCAAGCUUCCUUUCAUAACAACCCCCUCCUCAUCUCUAUCUGCCAACAUUUUUGGGGACUAAAUAACAGAAUCCUGAUUAUGUACAGUAUAAAUUGUAUUAUAUUUUUUGUACUUAUGUUUUAUGUAAAUAGUUUGUCUCAUUCAAUUGUAUGUGAGCAUUGAAAUAAAUCCAACCAUUUAGGAAACAAUUUAGUGGCAUUUUUCUUUGCAUGGCCUCAGCAUCCCCUGUGUCCCCAGACGUGCUAAGGCUCCUUGAAGGAAAGCAUUUCAGUGGAGUGAGACUGUGGAUGACCUCCUGGGUAAACCCCAGACCAUGCUCCUGUGUGUUCUUCAGAUCCCAAGGCCUCUUGAGUGGUGACCAGGACAGGACCAACCAGCUUCAUGAUGAUUCUGUGAUGUAGAAAAGAACUUUUAGAAAUGUUUCUGUGGGCAAUAGGAAAUGUGUGACAAGGAAACCAAUCAGGUUUUUAAUUUACAAGAAGUCCGUAUCAGGUACUGUUGAUGAUUUAUUAAGUUAUAUUAUGCUCAUCUUCUCUCCAACACAUCAUAUUCCAUUCUUCCUUGCAUAAAACAAAGUUUUUUUAUAAUGAACUGCUGACUGUCAGUCAGCAUGAACACAGCUAGAAGAUGCCCAGUCCAGGAAAACCACUCUGUUGAGAGAGAGCCGUAUUUCAAUACUCAUGAUCCCGUUAGAUCUCUCUCUCUCUGUCUCCCUCUCGCCCUUCCUUCCUCACUCUGACAUUCCUCUUUUUUCUCUCUCUCUCUACAUAGAUAUAUAUAAUAUAUACACAUAUAUGUAUAUAUAAAUGUGUAUAAUUUCACAUAUAUAAAUAUAUGUAAGUUAUAAACUAGGGAAGCAUAUUAUAAUGAUUAAACUAUUUUUUAACCCCAACUAAUGAAAUACUAAUAUUUCAAAUCUAUUUUCACAGAUGACCCAGGCUGGCUACAUAGUUAAACGACUUCUCUCCUGUUGGGAGGUUGGCUGUCCUUUAGUGCUAAAGGGGUCCCAGAAGAAUAAUAUCCUACAGCUCCUUGGCAGGUGUGUUCUCCCCGCACUGAGCAGGCUGACGAUCUAGGAGAUUGUUAGCUCUGGCUGCACGUUGGUAUUAUCUUGGAGUUUUUAAUAAAAUAUCAUCCAGACACCAUCCCAGACCAAUUAAAUUUGGAUUCUGAGUAUCUAUAUCCUAUGAAAUAUUAAAAUUUUAAAGCAUUCCAUAAAGAACCUGCAUUUGGCUGUUAGUUUAGAA